rnacentral:rRNA from 1 species
AACGAACGCUGGCGGCGUGCUUAACACAUGCAAGUCGAGCGGUAAGGCCCUUUCGGGGGUACGACGAGCGGCGAACGGGUGAGUAACACGUGGGUGACCUGCCCUCAGCUCUGGGAUAAGCCUGGGAAACCGGGUCUAAUACCGGAUAUGACUCCAUGACGCAUGUUGGUGGGGUGGAAAGCCUUGUGCGGCUGAGGAUGGGCCCGCGGCCUAUCAGCUUGUUGGUGGGGUGANGGCCUACCAAGGCGACGACGGGUAGCCGGCCUGAGAGGGCGACCGGCCACACUGGGACUGAGACACGGCCCAGACUCCUACGGGAGGCAGCAGUGGGGAAUCUUGCGCAAUGGGCGAAAGCCUGACGCAGCGACGCCGCGUGAGGGAUGACGGCCUGGUUGUAA